UCCAGCACCGCCCCAGCACACAGCAAGAGGGAGAGAAGCAUCUCCUGGUGGCUUUGGAAGCAUUUUGCCUGAAGAUCUAGGGUAGAUUUCUGUGUAUAUCAGAAGAGGGGCAUCCAAGUUGCUGUUGUCUGUGCUGGCCACUUGCCUCUGCCUUGCUCAGCUCCCAGCACUGCUUUUCCCACCAGCAGCCUCCCAAUAGCUCACCCAUCUGCAAAGCUAAGAAGGCUUUGUAUUUCUACGUAGAUAACUAAUAAAUCCCGGCGUUCAUCAGCCUUUUCCCCCCUUCUUUCCUUCUUUUUCAACCAUUUUACCUUGGUCAAUAAGGGUUGCUCUGCUGUUGCUCUACUGUUACCUCAGCUACACAGGGGAGAGGUGAAACCAUGAGAUCUUACCUGGUCUCUGUAUUUUUACCCUUUUGUAAGCAGACUCAGGCCCUGAGAUUGUGAAACAAGGAAAACAACUUGGGUUGUGCUUUCUUUAGUAACCCAAUCACCUUCUCCAAAUUCUCUUGUGAUUUCUUUAGUAAUCCAGCCACCUUCUCCAAUCCCUGUGAUGGGGUUUGGCAAUGUGUGGCAAAUGGGACAAGGUAGUUUUGAGCAGCAGCUUGCACGACUCCUUUGUACCAGGUAAUAUUUGUGGAUUCCUACUGCCCAAGACGCUGGAAUUUUGUGCUGAAACUGCAGGGUAUCACUGAAGCAGUUCAGCUCUUUGGGAAGCAGCUUCUCCCUCCCAAAGACUCAGUCCGGGGGCACACCCGACCCCUGGGCUGCUCCCCCAACACAUCAGUGUGACAUGUGGCUGUCCCCAUCGCCUGGGGCUGCCAGUGCUCACCUCAGGCACCCUGCAUUGCAGUAAUCUCAUUUUAAUGAGCAUUAGGACAUCACAUCAUCCACUUCUGCCCACUGCCGCUGUUUCACUGGACCUUUGGCUCAGAGAUUUAUGCCAAACAAAGGCAUAUAAGACUCUGAGAGUGUGGUUGGAAAGAGAACCACAGCUGAGGUUUGGCUGGCUCUGGAAAAACCAUUGAAGCUGUUGGGCAGCUGUUUUCUUGUGGUUGGGGUGCUUGGAGUUAGCAGAGAUGUUGAAAAUAAGUGGAAAAGAGGGAAGACCUUACUCUAUUCUGUUUAGAGGCGGUAGUUUCUUAACGUUAUAUGAAGCUGGAGUGUUAUCUGCUCUGCAGGACUUGUCUCCUGACAUAAUGAAAUCUGCAUCCAGGAUCUAUGGAGCAUCUUCAGGAUCUAUUAUAGCUACAGUUGGAUUGUGUGGAUGUGAUCUGGAUGAGCUAAAGGACUAUAUCUUCAAUCACUUGAAAACCUCUUUCUGUGGGCUGUUUACUGGAGGACCAGCACUUAGACUCUUACGGGAGGUCUUACACAAAUUCCUGCCUCCGAAUGCCCACGAGCUGGUGUCUGGAAAGCUGCACAUUAUCCUCACCCGCCUGCAUGACUGGAGAUGUGUGACAGUGUCCGAGUUUGCCUCCAAGGAGGAGCUGAUUCAGGCUGUGACGUGCAGCUGCUUCCUCCCGCUGUAUUUUGGGUUUUUACCUCCAACGUACCGUGGGGUGGUGAGUAGCUUUGUGGCCUGAAGAUCCUGUCCAACUCAGGCCCAGGGCCCCUCCAGCCUCGGUCCUCUCUCCAGUGGUGGCAUUAAGGAUGUUUCUACCUGGAUUUGUCACCAACAAAGCUCAAGGCUGGGUUCUGAAGUGAGAAGACAAGGGCUCCAAAAUCUGACCUCACUGCAGACAGGACUGAGCUUCUCACUGAAUUGUCCAUCUUCCCCUGUCCCUUCCUCAGCUCCUUUCUGCUGCACUUUCCACCCAGUUUCAUUGCUGUAGGAUUUUGGGG